rnacentral:rRNA from 1 species
CAAGUCGAGCGGGCGUAGCAAUACGUCAGCGGCAGACGGGUGAGUAACGCGUGGGAACAUACCUUUUGGUUCGGAACAACACAGGGAAACUUGUGCUAAUACCGGAUAAGCCCUUACGGGGAAAGAUUUAUCGCCGAAAGAUUGGCCCGCGUCUGAUUAGCUAGUUGGUGAGGUAAUGGCUCACCAAGGCGACGAUCAGUAGCUGGUCUGAGAGGAUGAUCAGCCACAUUGGGACUGAGACACGGCCCAAACUCCUACGGGAGGCAGCAGUGGGGAAUAUUGGACAAUGGGCGCAAGCCUGAUCCAGCCAUGCCGCGUGAGUGAUGAAGGCCCUAGGGUUGUAAAGCUCUUUUGUGCGGGAAGAUAAUGACGGUACCGCAAGAAUAAGCCCCGGCUAACUUCGUGCCAGCAGCCGCGGUAAUACGAAGGGGGCUAGCGUUGCUCGGAAUCACUGGGCGUAAAGGGUGCGUAGGCGGGUCUUUAAGUCAGGGGUGAAAUCCUGGAGCUCAACUCCAGAACUGCCUUUGAUACUGAGGAUCUUGAGUUCGGGAGAGGUGAGUGGAACUGCGAGUGUAGAGGUGAAAUUCGUAGAUAUUCGCAAGAACACCAGUGGCGAAGGCGGCUCA